CAUGCAAGUCGAACGAUGAUGCCCAGCUUGCUGGGUGGAUUAGUGGCGAACGGGUGAGUAACACGUGAGUAACCUGCCCCUGACUCUGGGAUAAGCGUUGGAAACGACGUCUAAUACUGGAUAUGACUGCCGGCCGCAUGGUCUGGUGGUGGAAAGAUUUUUUGGUUGGGGAUGGACUCGCGGCCUAUCAGCUUGUUGGUGAGGUAAUGGCUCACCAAGGCGACGACGGGUAGCCGGCCUGAGAGGGUGACCGGCCACACUGGGACUGAGACACGGCCCAGACUCCUACGGGAGGCAGCAGUGGGGAAUAUUGCACAAUGGGCGAAAGCCUGAUGCAGCAACGCCGCGUGAGGGAUGACGGCCUUCGGGUUGUAAACCUCUUUUAGUAGGGAAGAAGCGAAAGUGACGGUACCUGCAGAAAAAGCACCGGCUAACUACGUGCCAGCAGCCGCGGUAAUACGUAGGGUGCAAGCGUUGUCCGGAAUUAUUGGGCGUAAAGAGCUCGUAGGCGGUUUGUCGCGUCUGCUGUGAAAUCCCGAGGCUCAACCUCGGGCUUGCAGUGGGUACGGGCAGACUAGAGUGCGGUAGGGGAGAUUGGAAUUCCUGGUGUAGCGGUGGAAUGCGCAGAUAUCAGGAGGAACACCGAUGGCGAAGGCAGAUCUCUGGGCCGUAACUGACGCUGAGGAGCGAAAGCGUGGGGAGCGAACAGGAUUAGAUACCCUGGUAGUCCACGCCGUAAACGUUGGGCGCUAGAUGUAG
rnacentral:rRNA from 1 species